rnacentral:rRNA from 1 species
AGCGUACACGGUGGAUGCCCUGGCAGUCAGAGGCGAUGAAGGACGUGCUAAUCUGCGAAAAGCGUCGGUAAGGUGAUAUGAACCGUUAUAACCGGCGAUGUCCGAAUGGGGAAACCCAGUGCAAUUCGUUGCACUAUCGUUAACUGAAUACAUAGGUUAACGAGGCGAACCGGGGGAACUGAAACAUCUAAGUACCCCGAGGAAAAGAAAUCAACCGAGAUUCCCCCAGUAGCGGCGAGCGAACGGGGAGCAGCCCAGAGUCUGAAUCAGCUUGUGUGUUAGUGGAACGGUCUGGAAAGUCCGACGGUACAGGGUGAUAGUCCCGUACACCAAAAUGCACAGGUUGUGAACUCGAAGAGUAGGGCGGGACACGUGGUAUCCUGUCUGAAUAUGGGGGGACCAUCCUCCAAGGCUAAAUACUCCUGACUGACCGAUAGUGAACCAGUACCGUGAGGGAAAGGCGAAAAGAACCCCGGCGAGGGGAGUGAAAAAGAACCUGAAACCGUGUACGUACAAGCAGUGGGAGCACCUUCGGGUGUGACUGCGUACCUUUUGUAUAAUGGGUCAGCGACUUAUAUUCUGUAGCAAGGUUAACCGUAUAGGGGAGCCGCAGGGAAACCGAGUCUUAACUGGGCGUUAAGUUGCAGGGUAUAGACCCGAAACCCGGUGAUCUAGCCAUGGGCAGGUUGAAGGUUGGGUAACACUAACUGGAGGACCGAACCGACUAAUGUUGAAAAAUUAGCGGAUGACUUGUGGCUGGGGGUGAAAGGCCAAUCAAACCGGGAGAUAGCUGGUUCUCCCCGAAAGCUAUUUAGGUAGCGCCUCGUGAAUUCAUCUUCGGGGGUAGAGCACUGUUUCGGCUAGGGGGUCAUCCCGACUUACCAACCCGAUGCAAACUACGAAUACCGAAGAAUGUUAUCACGGGAGACACACGGCGGGUGCUAACGUCCGUCGUGAAGAGGGAAACAACCCAGACCGCCAGCUAAGGUCCCAAAGUCAUGGUUAAGUGGGAAACGAUGUGGGAAGGCACAGACAGCCAGGAUGUUGGCUUAGAAGCAGCCAUCAUUUAAAGAAAGCGUAAUAGCUCACUGGUCGAGUCGGCCUGCGCGGAAGAUGUAACGGGGCUAAACCAUGCACCGAAGCUGCGGCAGCGACACUAUGUGUUGUUGGGUAGGGGAGCGUUCUGUAAGCCUGCGAAGGUGUGCUGUGAGGCAUGCUGGAGGUAUCAGAAGUGCGAAUGCUGACAUAAGUAACGAUAAAGCGGGUGAAAAGCCCGCUCGCCGGAAGACCAAGGGUUCCUGUCCAACGUUAAUCGGGGCAGGGUGAGUCGACCCCUAAGGCGAGGCCGAAAGGCGUAGUCGAUGGGAAACAGGUUAAUAUUCCUGUACUUGGUGUUACUGCGAAGGGGGGACGGAGAAGGCUAUGUUAGCCGGGCGACGGUUGUCCCGGUUUAAGCAUGUAGGCUGGUUAUCCAGGCAAAUCCGGAUAAUCAAGGCUGAGGUGUGAUGACGAGGCACUACGGUGCUGAAGUAACAAAUGCCCUGCUUCCAGGAAAAGCCUCUAAGCAUCAGGUAACAUCAAAUCGUACCCCAAACCGACACAGGUGGUCAGGUAGAGAAUACCAAGGCGCUUGAGAGAACUCGGGUGAAGGAACUAGGCAAAAUGGUGCCGUAACUUCGGGAGAAGGCACGCUGGUGUGUAGGUGAAGUCCCUGCGGAUGGAGCUGAGACCAGUCGAAGAUACCAGCUGGCUGCAACUGUUUAUUAAAAACACAGCACUGUGCAAACACGAAAGUGGACGUAUACGGUGUGACGCCUGCCCGGUGCCGGAAGGUUAAUUGAUGGGGUUAUCCGUAAGGAGAAGCUCUUGAUCGAAGCCCCGGUAAACGGCGGCCGUAACUAUAACGGUCCUAAGGUAGCGAAAUUCCUUGUCGGGUAAGUUCCGACCUGCACGAAUGGCGUAAUGAUGGCCAGGCUGUCUCCACCCGAGACUCAGUGAAAUUGAACUCGCUGUGAAGAUGCAGUGUACCCGCGGCAAGACGGAAAGACCCCGUGAACCUUUACUAUAGCUUGACACUGAACAUUGAGCCUUGAUGUGUAGGAUAGGUGGGAGGCUUUGAAGCGUGGACGCCAGUCUGCGUGGAGCCAACCUUGAAAUACCACCCUUUAAUGUUUGAUGUUCUAACGUUGGCCCCUUACCGGGGUUGCGGACAGUGUCUGGUGGGUAGUUUGACUGGGGCGGUCUCCUCCCAAAGCGUAACGGAGGAGCACGAAGGUUAGCUAAUCCUGGUCGGACAUCAGGAGGUUAGUGCAAUGGCAUAAGCUAGCUUGACUGCGAGCGUGACGGCGCGAGCAGGUGCGAAAGCAGGUCAUAGUGAUCCGGUGGUUCUGAAUGGAAGGGCCAUCGCUCAACGGAUAAAAGGUACUCCGGGGAUAACAGGCUGAUACCGCCCAAGAGUUCAUAUCGACGGCGGUGUUUGGCACCUCGAUGUCGGCUCAUCACAUCCUGGGGCUGAAGUAGGUCCCAAGGGUAUGGCUGUUCGCCAUUUAAAGUGGUACGCGAGCUGGGUUUAGAACGUCGUGAGACAGUUCGGUCCCUAUCUGCCGUGGGCGCUGGAGAAUUGAGGGGGGCUGCUCCUAGUACGAGAGGACCGGAGUGGACGCAUCACUGGUGUUCGGGUUGUCAUGCCAAUGGCACUGCCCGGUAGCUAAAUGCGGAAGAGAUAAGUGCUGAAAGCAUCUAAGCACGAAACUUGCCCCGAGAUGAGUUCU